ACUCCUACGGGAGGCAGCAGUGGGGAAUUUUCCGCAAUGGGCGCAAGCCUGACGGAGCAACGCCGCGUGAGGGAUGAAGGCCUCUGGGCUGUAAACCUCUUUUAUCAAGGAAGAAGAUCUGACGGUACUUGAUGAAUAAGCCACGGCUAAUUCCGUG
rnacentral:rRNA from 1 species